UACGUAGGGCGCAAGCGUUGUUCGGAAUUACUGGGCGUAAAGGGCGCGUAGGCGGUUCGAUAAGUCCCGUGUGAAAUCCCUCGGCUCAACUGAGGAAUGGCACGGGAAACUGACGGGCUUGAGUUCGGGAGAGGGUGGCGGAAUUCCCCAAGUAGAGGUGAAAUUCGUAGAUAUGGGGAGGAACACCGGUGGCGAAGGCGGCCACCUGGACGGCUACUGACGCUGAGACGCGAAAGCGUGGGGAGCAAACAGG
rnacentral:rRNA from 1 species